CACAGACACUUUGGUGACUCUAGAUAACCUUGGGCGGAUCGCACAUCCCAGUGACGGCGACAACGCAUUCGGAUGUCUGCCCUAUCAACUUUCGAUAGUACUUUCUGCGCCAACCAUGGUGACCACGGGUAACAGGGAAUCAGGGUUCGAUUCCAGAGAGGGAGCCUGAGAAAUGGCUACCACAUCCAAGGAAGGCAGCAGGCGCGCAAAUUACCCACUCCCAAUGCGGGGAGAUAGUGACG